CCAACAGGGAUUGCCUCAGUAACGGCGAGUGAAGCGGCAACAGCUCAAAUUUGAAAUCUGGCCCUCGGGUCCGAGUUGUAAUUUGCAGAGGAUGCUUCGGGCGCGGUGCCUUCCAAGUCCCCUGGAACGGGGCGCCAUAGAGGGUGAGAGCCCCGUACGGUUGGCCGCCAAGCCUGUGUGAAGCUCCUUCGACGAGUCGAGUAGUUUGGGAAUGCUGCUCUAAGCGGGAGGUAGACCCCUUCUAAAGCUAAAUAUUGGCCAGAGACCGAUAGCGCACAAGUAGAGUGAUCGAAAGAUGAAAAGCACUUUGAAAAGAGGGUUAAACAGCACGUGAAAUUGUUGAAAGGGAAGCGCUUGCGACCAGACGCGCUCCGGGGUGCUCAGCAGGUGUUCUCACCUGUGCACUCGCCCCGGGGCGGGCCAGCGUCGGUUCGAGCGGGGGGAUAAAGGUGCCUGGAACGUGGCUCCCUCGGGAGUGUUAUAGCCAGGUGCGCCAUGCCUCCGCCCGGACCGAGGUACGCGUUCUGCAAGGACGCUGGCAUAAUGGUCUCCAGCGACCCGUCUUGAAACACGGACCAAGGAGUCGAGGUUUUGCGCGAGUGUAUGGGUGGAAAACCCGCACGCGUAAUGAAAGUGAACGUAGGUGAGAGCUUCGGCGCAUCACCGACCGAUCCUGAUGUUCUCGGAUGGAUUUGAGUAAGAGCGUAGGGCCUCGGACCCGAAAGAUGGUGAACUAUGCUUGGAUAGGGUGAAGCCAGAGGAAACUCUGGUGGAGGCUCGCAGCGGUUCUGACGUGCAAAUCGAUCGUCAAAUCUGAGCAUGGGGGCGAAAGACUAAUCGAACCAU
rnacentral:rRNA from 1 species